ensembl:snRNA U6 U6 spliceosomal RNA
GUGCUCGCUUCAGCAGCGUAUACAAUAAAACUGGCACCAUACAGAGAAGAUUAGUAUGGCCCCUGCACAAGGAUGACACGCAAAUUCAUGAAGUGUUUCAUACUUUU